UACAGAGGGGGCAAGCGUUAUUCGGAAUUAUUGGGCGUAAAGGGCGCGUAGGCGCCUGGCAAGUGGAAGGUGAAAUCCCUCGGCUUAAACCGAGGAACUGCCCUCCAAACUGCUUGGCUUGAGUCCGGGAGAGGUGAGUGGAAUCCCAGUGUAGCGGUGAAAUGCGUAGAUAUUGGGAGGAACGACCAGUGGCGGAAGGCGGCUCGACUGGACCGGAACUGGACGCUGAGGCGCGAAAGCCGUGGGGAGCAACGGG
rnacentral:rRNA from 1 species